rnacentral:rRNA from 1 species
UUCGAUUGCGAUCGCGGAAAAGACCUUUUACAGUACCCCUUGACAUGCUAGGGAACCUCAGCAUGAGGAUGUGAGGGAGCCCCGAAAGGGUACCUACGACACAAGGUGCUUGCAUGGCUAGUCGUCAGCUCCGAUGUCGAUGAGAUGUUGGGUUAAGUCCCGCAACUGAGCGCGACCCUUGCCAUUAGUUGCCACAUUCAAAGUUUGGGCACUCGUCAAUGUGGUACUGCCGGUGACAUAACCGGAGGAAGGUAGGGGAUGACGUCAAGUCACUCAUGGCCCUUUAUCGGGUAGGGCUUCACACGUAAAUACAAUGGCCGGUACAGAGGGCGAGCCAACCCGCGAGGGGGAGCUGAAUCCCAGUAAAGCCGGUCGUAGUCCGUGAUUGCAGUCAUGCAACUCGACGUGCAACGAAGCAAAGUAAAUCG